UAGGGAAUAUUGGUCAAUGGGCGAUAGCCUGAACCAGCCAUGCCGCGUGCAGGAAGACGGCCUUCUGGGUUGUAAACUGCUUUUAUCUGGGGUUAAAAAGACCUUGCGAGGUUCAUUGAAGGUACCAGAUGAAUAAGCACCGGCUAACUACGUGCCAGCAGCCGCGGUAAUAGGUAGGGUGCAAGCGUUGUCCGGAUUUAUUGGGUUUAAAGGGUGCGUAGGCGGCCAAGUAAGUCAGUGGUGAAAUACAACAGCUUAACUGUUGAGGUGCCAAUGAUACUGCAUGGCUUGAGUUUGGUCGAGGUAGGCGGAAUUGACGGUGUAGCGGUGAAAUGCAUAGAUAUCGUCAAGAACACCGAUAGCGAAGGCAGCUUGCCAGGCCAUAACUGACGCUGAUGCACGAAAGUGUGGGGAUCAAACAGGAUUAGAUACCCCCGUAGUCC
rnacentral:rRNA from 1 species